UCUUUUGCUAUAUUUUAUCAUAACUAGCUAUUUGCUAAUAAGUUAGAUUUUCAUAAAUUUCAAAUAAAAUCCAUAAUUUCUUUUUAGAAAUUUAUUUUUAUAUUAAAAAUUUAUUAUAACUCUAUAUAUCUAUCUUUAAAAUAUAUUUAAAGUCUUGAUUCUUAAAAAGCCCUUGAUUUAUAUAAAAGAUCCAACAUUGUGGCUAAUAACCUC
rnacentral:lncRNA from 1 species